UUUAUCCAGUCUAACCUCACUUAGUGACGCUCAACUUUCCGUAGAUGUUCGUGUCUAUAAACAUCUAGUUCUGAAUAAUAAUGGCUCUAUUUAAUAUAUCUGGCUCAAAGGACUGGGAAGUGACCGGUGCCGCUCAAAAACUGUGCCAAAAUUUCAACGAGGGCCACGGCAGCAAUUUUAUGCGCAAAUUCAAAAACAAUGGCAAAGUGAGCAAGUCCAGUUCGAAAAACAAGGACAAAAAGCUUAAGAAAAAACUCCUAAAAUCCGUCUCGUUAUUCAACAACGCAGAUCUACUAAAUGGAAAGGAGAGGCUACUCAAGGAAAUAAAAAAGAAAAUUACCGAGCAGAAUCAUCUGGCCGAUGAUAAAGUAGCAUUGAACAGUUCUAUAGAAAUUUCAAAUAAAAAAAUGAGAAAACGGAAAGUACGUUCGAAAAACCAUGUCAAUGUGCCCGAGUCCAGUAGCCAAGAAUUAGAGCAAUUGAGCGCCUCUAAACACACUGAAGCUGAGAGCUCUAAUAAAAUAUUGAAACAUAAGAAGAAAAGCAAAAAAAUAAAAAGUGCCAUCACAGAACCUUUAUUGCACGAGGACAUUGGAUCCAGUGACUCUCCUCAAAAUAGCUUUAUACAUCCACAGUUGUUAAAAAAACGCAAAAAACAGUUGGAAAAAUUGAAGGAACUUGUAUUGGAAAAAGCGCAAAAAUCGCGAAAAGUAGAAGAUUCCAAUUUGACGUUGAGGCAGCGCAUGAUGCGAAAACUGAAAGCUGCAAGAUUCAGAUUUUUAAACGAGCAGAUUUACAACACAACUGGGAAGGAAACGGAAAAAAUAUUUAGGAGCGAUCCGGAAGCCUUUAAGGCCUACCAUGAAGGCUACAAGCUGCAGUUGAAACGAUGGCCGAUGAAUCCUCUGGAUAAAAUCAUCAAAUCCCUCACUAAAAUGAACAAAACUAAUGUAAUUGCAGAUUUUGGAUGCGGUGAAGCAAGAUUAGCGCAAUCCGUUGAGCAUAAAGUGCAUUCUUUUGAUCUGGUCGCAGCCAAUGAUUUCGUAACUGCCUGUGAUAUGGCACAUGUACCUUUAGAUGAUUCUUCUGUAGAUGUAGCGGUAUUUUGUCUGUCCUUAAUGGGCACCAACUUAAAGGAAUACUUAUUAGAAGCCAAUAGAGUUCUGAAGAAAGGAGGUUUGCUUAAAAUAGCCGAGGUAGAGAGUCGCUUUGAAGAUGUGGACGCUUUUAUAAAAAAUUGCGAACAAUACGGCUUUAAGAAGACUUGGAUGGAUCUCUCGUAUAACUUAUUCUAUUUCAUCGACUUUAAAAAAGAGAGCAGUAGCAGGAAUAAAGCAAAGCUUCCAUCAUUAACUUUACAACCAUGCCUUUAUAAGAAAAGGAUAUCAAGGCCAUUUAGGCACGAGCAUUUCUUAUCAUCGUGCAUUAAGGUCAAGUGUUCUGCGACCCCCUAUGCUUUCAACCGGAAUCUAUUUACGCAGAACGAUAAGAAAAAACCAUCUGGUUGGACAGAAUGGGAAGGAAUGUUGAAAAGAUUUGUACCAUUGGGCGUAUGCCUUAUAGCGGUAAUGCAGUGGCGUGCUUACCGGCAAAAAGGAAAAGGGGGCACUGCGGCGAAACAGUGGGAGAUUAAUUGCUACUGCUUCUUACCACUGAGGACUAUGAGCAGAUGCUGGGGCUAUUUAGCUGACCAAAAACUACCGGAGUUUGCGAGACCAAUAGUCUACGGAGCCUAUUCGAAGACAUUCGGUGUAAAUCUCGCCGAGGCUCAAUAUGAAGAUCUGAAACACUAUUCUAGUUUAACCGAGUUUUUUACCAGAUCGUUGAAGGAAGGAGUGCGAGCAAUUGAUUACAAAAGUUCCCUGGUAUCACCGUGCGAUGGAACAGUAUUAAGUGUGGGAACUGUGAAUAACGGGCGCAUUGAACAAGUAAAGGGCGUUACGUACUACGUCCAAGACUUCUUAGGGGAAAAAGUAAGCAAUAGUAUUAGCCAAAAGGUUUCGAAACAGAGCCAUGAACAUUUGCUGCAUCGACCUCAUGAGGGAAAUACAUUGUAUCAAUGUGUGAUUUAUUUGGCCCCUGGGGACUAUCAUAGAUUCCAUUCGCCAGCCGAAUGGAAGCCGACGCAUCGAAGACACUUUUCCGGCGAACUGCUCUCGGUCAAUCCACGGAUCGCUCAAUGGCUGCCUGGAUUAUUUGUGCUCAAUGAAAGAGCGGUUUAUUUGGGCGAGUGGGAGCAUGGAUUCUUUUCCUACAGUGCUGUAGGAGCUACCAAUGUGGGUUCAAUUCGGGUAUUUUUCGAUAAAACUUUACAAACCAAUCAGAAAAAGAAGACCCACAAGUUCAAGGAGAUCUGCUUGGGAAGUUCCGUAGAUUUGCACAAAGGCGAUCUGGUCGGCGAGUUUCGCAUGGGAUCUACCAUCGUGAUAAUAUUCGAAGGGCCGGUUAAUUUCAAGUUUAAUGUGGCACCGGGCCAAAAAAUCUGGCUUGGACAGUCGCUGGGGACUGUUGAAAAGACCAAAGCAGCCGACAGGGCCCAGACGAGGACCAUCCACGCUGGCCAUUAAGUUUGAGCGUAUUUUAGCUUGUGUAGUGUGUUAACGUUGCCAUUUCCCCGAAUAUCUUCAAAGUGUAGUUCGGCUCUGGCAUUUUAAAUGGAUGUUCGGGCCAAUGAGUGUCACGGAAACAAGUGGGAGACACGCGAUUCCCGUUGAAUAAUUCUAAGAUAAUCCUGGAUGUGCUGAAGAGCUGGAGAUCGAUAUGUUGCUGUAUUAAAGAGAUUACGAGGCAGAACGAUCGAUGGAUUAAUUAGGUGUUUUUAGAUCUAGAUUGAACAUUAACAGUUUCUUUCUGGUUUGUUCUCUGCCUAGAUGGUCACUUUUUUGUAGCACCAACCAACUGUAUGCGGGGCAUGCAACAUUAUUUCGCUAUAAAUAUCGGCUAUGGCAAGAGCAAACCGAACUGGGCGAAAUGCAAAUAAGAUUCGCCUAGAAGGCAAUUCGGGACACUUAGGACAGGUGUCGGCAUCGACAGCAGUCGAUCUGGAUGGGCAAACCAUCGCGUUCCCCUUUGGAUUGUUCUGCGUGUGUUAGCAGAUUUUUCUACUUUAGCUAAGUGCUGGAAACAAGCCCCUUAAAAGUGGGUCUUCAAGGCGGGUAAAUAGAUUUCUGGAAUUAUGGAGCAACCAAAACUUGAUCAGAUCGAGUACACGGACUCAAGAAGUUCCUUCGCAUUGUCGGGCGAUCAUCAACUGUGGGUGAACUUGAGCGCUUUGGGCGAAGGAAAUGUCUUCACAACCCUCUGGCCAACGCUCCUGAAGCAAUAUUUAUUAGAUGGGGCCGAAGAGAUGGACAAUGGGUCUUUCGAUAUCAUUUUGCCCAGCGACAACAGUUGGCAAACGAAAAUUUACUACAAGCUGGUGGAAAAGCAACGGAUGAUUGAUAGUGGAGUUCCCGAAAUGGUUUUAGAAGAAGAGCAGCCCAACAGUAGCAAACUGCACGAAUGGAAUAUUUUGCCCAAAGCAGCGACCCCAGCUUGCACCCCCGAGCCCCCAACUCCGGGAAGUCGGAGAAGGAAGAAUUAUUUAGCCCCGAUAACGUGGACGGUUGGGGACAUUUCAAAGGCCGGUUGCUUGUUGACGAUUCCUCCUCAACAUGUUGAUUUUGACGAUGAACAGGAGAUGCGACGAGUCUAUUCACUGAUUUAUGAUGUCUUUCGAU